rnacentral:lncRNA from 1 species
AAGCAAGAAAUUAAUUGAGCAUGUCCAUGUAUGUGACAGAGACAGAGACAGGAGGAUCACUAGGGUUAGCUGCCGGCCUAGCCAAAAACUGGUAAGCUCUAGAUAUAAGGGUGUAGAAGAGGAUAUGUGCCAGCAUCCUCUCUGGCUUCUACCUUAUUCACAUGUAUACAUGAGUACCCCCCUCAUUCACAUGUAUACAUGAGUACCCCACCUCAUUCACAUGUGUACAUGAGUACCCCCCUCAUUCACAUGUAUACAUGAGUACCCCACCUCAUUCACAUGUGUACAUGAGUACCCCCCUCAUUCACAUGUAUACAUGAGUACCCCACCUCAUUCACAUGUGUACAUAAGUACCCCCCUCAUUCACAUGUAUACAUAAGUACCCCCCUCAUUCACAUGUGUACAUAAGAGUACCCCCCUCAUUCACAUGUAUACAUGAGUACCCCACCUCAUUCACAUGUGUACAUGAGUACCCCCCUCAUUCACAUGUGUACAUAAGUACCCGCCUCAUUCACAUGUGUACAUAAGUACCCCCCAUUCACAUGUGUACAUAAGUACCCCCAUUCACAUGUGUACAUGAGUACCCCCCAUUCACAUGUGUACAUGAGUACCCCACCUCAUUCACAUGUGUACAUAAGUACCCCCCCAUUCACAUGUGUACAUAAGAGUACCCCCCUCAUUCACAUGUGUACAUAAGUACCCCCCCC